rnacentral:rRNA from 1 species
AGUGGCGGACGGGUGAGUAACGCGUGGGUAACCUGCCUCAUACAGGGGGAUAACAGUUAGAAAUAGCUGCUAAUACCGCAUAAGCGCACAGUUCCGCAUGGAACAGUGUGAAAAACUCCGGUGGUGUGAGAUGGACCCGCGUCUGAUUAGCCAGUUGGCGGGGUAACGGCCCACCAAAGCGACGAUCAGUAGCCGGCCUGAGAGGGUGAACGGCCACAUUGGGACUGAGACACGGCCCAAACUCCUACGGGAGGCAGCAUG